GGGAAGGUUCAGUCUUUACUGUCGUACCACCAACAUCUGCCUCUGACAUUGUCGGCCAACAUCAUAAAAAAGGAGGCAUUACUUUCAUGUUUCAUUGGAACAUUUACUGAAGUCUUGAAACAAUUUGACCUCCUCAGUAUUUAGUUCUGGUAGAGGCUAUUCUUACAAAAUCAAACUAAGCUUGAAAAUCAUCUGUUCACAGGAUGACAAAGAACUGGAAGAUUGUCAGUUUGGACUUACAGAAACAUAAAGAAUGUUUGAGAAUCUUCCAGUGCCUAACCUCGAGGAAAAACACGGUUGAAAGCCUAUGGAUCCCCAAGGCUACCAUUCUGGUGUGCUGUCCUGUAUCUUUUGUUAUUUUCUAGAUGCACUCCGUUUUAUUUAAAAAUACGUAUUUAGCAUAUUAUUGUGUGUCUUAAUUUGUAUUUAUGUAUCUAUUUAUGCUUUAU